rnacentral:rRNA from 1 species
GAGUUUGAUCAUGGCUCAGGACGAACGCUGGCGGCACGCCUAACACAUGCAAGUCGAACGGAGAUAUUUUGGUUUACUGAGAUAUCUUAGUGGCGGACGGGUGAGUAACACGUGAGCAACCUGCCUYUGAGAGAGGGAUAGCUUCUGGAAACGGAUGGUAAUACCUCAUAACAUAACGAAGCCGCAUGACUUUGUUAUCAAAGAUUUAUCACUCAGAGAUGGGCUCGCGUCUGAUUAGAUAGUUGGUGAGGUAACGGCUCACCAAGUCGACGAUCAGUAGCCGGACUGAGAGGUUGAACGGCCACAUUGGGACUGAGACACGGCCCAGACUCCUACGGGAGGCAGCAGUGGGGAAUAUUGCACAAUGGGGGAAACCCUGAUGCAGCGAUGCCGCGUGGAGGAAGAAGGUUUUCGGAUUGUAAACUCCUGUCUAAAGGACGAUAAUGACGGUACUAGAGAGUACGUA